GAUGAAGAACGUAGCGAAACGCGAUAAGUAAUGCGAAUUGCAGAAUUCCGUGAGUCAUCGAAUCUUUGAACGCACAUCGCGCCCUCUGGUAUUCCGGAGGGCAUGCCUGUCUGAGCGUCAUUGUCAACCCUCAAGCUCAGCUUGCUGUUGGGUCCCCGUCGUUGCUUUAACGGCGGACCCGAAAGGUAAUGGCAGAGUCCGUGAGACCCUAGACGCAGCGAGCUUCUAGCACGCGUCUGGACGUUUUUCGGGCUCGGUCUUAACUAGAUGAUAACUUCCGAUUGACCUCAGAUCAGGUAGGGAUACCCGCUGAACUUAAGCAUAUCAAUAAGCGGAGGA
rnacentral:misc_RNA from 1 species